rnacentral:rRNA from 1 species
UACGAAGGUGGCAAGCGUUGUUCGGAUUUACUGGGCGUACAGGGAGCGUAGGCGGUUGGAUAAGCCCUCCGUGAAAUCUCCAGGCUUAACCUGGAAAGUGCAGAGGGGACUGUUCAGCUAGAGGAUGGGAGAGGAGCGCGGAAUUCCCGGUGUAGCGGUGAAAUGCGUAGAGAUCGGGAGGAAGACCAGUGGCGAAGGCGGGUCUCUGGACAGUUCCUGACGCUGAGGCACGAAGGCCAGGGGAGCAAACGGG